AACGAACGCUGGCGGCAUGCCUAACACAUGCAAGUCGAACGAGGCCUUCGGGCGUAGUGGCGCACGGGUGAGUAACGCGUGGGAACCUGCCCUUAGGUUCGGAAGAACUCCCCGAAAGGGGUGCUAAUACCGGAAAAUGUCUUCGGACCCAAGAUUUAUCGCGUUUGGAUGGGCCCGCGUUUGAUUAGCUAGUUGGUAGGGUAAAAGCAUACCAAGGCUGGGAUGCUUAGCUGGUCUGAGGGGAUGAUCAGCCACGCUGGGACUGAGACACGGCCCAGACUCGGACGGGAGGGAGCAGUGGGGAAUAUUGGAGGAGGGGGGAAAGCGUGACGAAGCAGUGCCGGGGGAGAGAGGAAGGCCGUAGGGUUGUAAAGCUCUCUGACCCGGGAUGAUAAUGACGGUACCGGGAGAAUAAGCACCGGCUAACUACGUG
rnacentral:rRNA from 1 species